ensembl:snoRNA
CCCGCCACUGUGCCGGCCUUAACUCGUGGCCUGUAUACUCCAGUGGUGGCUGACAUUAACUCCUUCCCAAGGAAGCAGGGUGGCCCUGACCAGUGGGCAACUCUGCGCCGAAGGGCUCGGAACAGGA